rnacentral:rRNA from 1 species
AGCAGCCGCGGUAAUUCCAGCUCCAAUAGCGUAUAUUAAAGUUGUUGCAGUUAAAAAGCUCGUAGUUGAAUUUCGGGAUCAAGGAAUCGGUCAUGCCUCGGUAUGUACUGGUUUUAUUGGUUCUCACCUUCUAAAGAACCAUAAUGUCAUUCAUUUGAUGUUAUGGGGAAUUAGGACUGUUACCUUGAAAAAAUUAGAGUGUUUAAAGCAGGCUCACGCUUGAAUACAUUAGCAUGGAAUAACGAAAUAGGACGUUUGAUUCUAUUUUGUUGGUUUCUAGGAUCGACGUAAUGAUUAAUAGGGAUAGUUGGGGGCAUUAGUAUUCAAUUGUCAGAGGUGAAAUUCUUGGAUUUAUUGAAGACUAACUACUGCGAAAGCAUUUGCCAAGGAUGUUUUCAUUAAUCAAGAACGAAAGUUAGGGGAUCGAAGACGAUCAGAUACCGUCGUAGUCUUAACCAUAAAUUAUGCCGACUAGGGAUCGGAUGAUGUUAAAUUAACGACUCA